rnacentral:lncRNA from 1 species
AGAGGUCCACCAUAUUGAUGUUAAACUUGGUGGAGACAUCCUAUCAGCUUAGUCUGCGGCAGGUUGAGCUACAUGAACUUGGGAACACAAAUGAAGAGCCAUGAUGUCAAACCCAAAUAUUUGAGUACAACCACUCCAAUGCUUUCUGUCUGUUGUUAGGUUCCAUGGAAAUAUGUAUGAUGAGAAUGAAAAUGCCUGCCAAGUAGAUGUGUGAUCAUGAGGGUAUAAAAUAAAACCAGGCCUCAGCCAAAGU